rnacentral:rRNA from 1 species
UCAGGAUGAACGCUGGCGGCGUGCCUAAUACAUGCAAGUCGAACGAAUCUCUUUUAGAGAUGAGUGGCGAACGGGUGAGUAAUACAUAGGUAACCUGCCCCUGUGCGGGGGAUAACAGGAGGAAACUCCUGCUAAUACCGCAUAGCCAUGAGCACCGCAUGGAGCUCAUGCCAAAUAUCCUUUCGGGGAUAGCACAGGGAUGGACCUAUGGCGCAUUAGCUUGUUGGCGGGGCAACGGCCCACCAAGGCAACGAUGCGUAGCCGGCCUGAGGGGGCGGACGGCCACAUUGGGACUGAGACACGGCCCAGACUCCUACGGGAGGCAGCAGUAGGGAAUUUUCGGCAAUGGGGGAAACCCUGACCGAGCAACGCCGCGUGAGCGAAGAAGGCCUUCGGGUCGUAAAGCUCUGUUGUAAAGGAAGAACGGCGCAUACAGGAAAUGGUAUGCGAGUGACGGUACUUUACCAGAAAGCCACGGCUAACUACGUGCCAGCAGCCGCGGUAAUACGUAGGUGGCGAGCGUUAUCCGGAAUCAUUGGGCGUAAAGAGGGAGCAGGCGGCCGCAAGGGUCUGUGGUGAAAGACCGAAGCUAAACUUCGGUAAGCCAUGGAAACCGGGCGGCUAGAGUGCGGAAGAGGAUCGUGGAAUUCCAUGUGUAGCGGUGAAAUGCGUAGAUAUAUGGAGGAACACCAGUGGCGAAGGCGACGGUCUGGGCCGCAACUGACGCUCAUUCCCGAAAGCGUGGGGAGCAAAUAGGAUUAGAUACCCUAGUAGUCCACGCCGUAAACGAUGGUCACUAAGUGUCGGGGGUCAAACCCCGGUGCUGCAGUCAACGCAAUAAGUGACCCGCCUGAGUAGUACGUUCGCAAGAAUGAAACUCAAAGGAAUUGACGGA